ACAAUAAAGACUUAGUCCUGGACUUUUUAUUAGCUAUCACCCAACUUAUACAUGCAAGCAUCUGCGAACCCGUGAGAACGCCCUACACAGUCCCACAGACAAAUGGAGCCGGCAUCAGGCACAUCAACUAAUAGCCCACGACGCCUAGCCAAGCCACACCCCCAAGGGCCACAGCAGUAAUUAACCUUAAACCAUAAGCGAAAGCUUGAUUUGGUUAGAAUGAAAUAGAGGUGGUCAACAUUCGUGCCAGCAGCCGCGGUUAAACGGAGGCCUCAGGUUAAUAAGCCAAAGGCGUAAAUUGUGGCUAGGUCUAAUAUCUCCACCAUUAAGGCAGAUGUGGCCCCAUAGCAGUAACAAGCCCCACAAUGCCACAAACAUCAACACAAAACGACCUUAAUCCCUGAGACAUACCCGACCCCACGAAAGCUAAGAAACAAACUGGGAUUAGAUACCCCACUAUGCUUAGCCCUUAACAAAAGUGUACCCCAACACACUUACACCCGCCAGAAGACUACGAGCCCAGCUUAAAACUCAAAGGACUUGAUGGUGCUUCGAACCCACCUAGAGGAGCCUGUCCUAUAAUUGAAGAUACACGAUUCACCUAACCCCUCCUUGCCUCUCAGUCUGUAUACCGCCGUCGCCAAACUCGUCCCACUGAGGGAAACAAAACAAGUGCAACAGCCUCCCAGGCUAAUACGUCAGGUCAAGGUGCAGCUAAUGGAGCGGAAGAGAUGUGCUACAUUUUCUAAAAUAGAAAUACGUAACAGAACGCCCUCUGAAAACAGGGCUGUCAAAGCAGAAUCUAGCAGUAAGUUAGGAAAGAGCGCCUAACUGAAGAAGGCCCCGAAGUACGUACAUACCGCCCGUCGCCCUCUUCAAACCCAACAAAAAGUGCCAUCAUACCUCAUGAUAAACACUACACGCGUGAGACGGGGCAAGUCGUAACAAGGUAAGCGUACCGGAAGGUGCUCUUGGAACAU
rnacentral:ncRNA from 1 species